rnacentral:rRNA from 1 species
UACGUAGGGAGCAAGCGUUGUCCGGAAUCAUUGGGCGUAAAGCGCGCGUAGGCGGGAGGCCAAGUCCGCUGUGAAAUCGCCCGGCUCAACUGGGCGCGGUCGGUGGAAACUGGUCACCUGGAGGACGGUAGAGGCGAGUGGAAUUCCCGGUGUAGUGGUGAAAUGCGUAGAGAUCGGGAGGAACACCAGUGGCGAAGGCGGCUCGCUGGGCCGGCCCUGACGCUGAGGCGCGAAGGCGUGGGGAGCGAACGGG